UACGUAGGGUGCAAGCGUUGUCCGGAAUUAUUGGGCGUAAAGAGCUCGUAGGCGGUUCGUCGCGUCGGCUGUGAAAACCCGGAGCUCAACUCCGGGCCUGCAGUCGAUACGGGCGGACUUGAGUGUUGCAGGGGAGACUGGAAUUCCUGGUGUUGCGGUGAAAUGCGCAGAUAUCAGGAGGAACACCGGUGGCGAAGGCGGGUCUCUGGGCAACUACUGACGCUGAGGAGCGAAAGCGUGGGGAGCGAACAGG
rnacentral:rRNA from 1 species